rnacentral:rRNA from 1 species
AAGAUUAAGCCAUGCAUGUCUAAGUAUAAGCAAUUAUACAGCGAAACUGCGAAUGGCUCAUUAAAUCAGUUAUCGUUUAUUUGAUAGUACCUUACUACAUGGAUAACCGUGGUAAUUCUAGAGCUAAUACAUGCUGAAAACCCCGACUUCGGAAGGGGUGUAUUUAUUAGAUUAAAAACCAAUGCCCUUCGGGGCUCACUGGUGAUUCAUGAUAACUUCUCGAAUCGCAUGGCCUUGCGCCGGCGAUGGUUCAUUCAAAUUUCUGCCCUAUCAACUUUCGACGGCUGGGUCUUGGCCAGCCGUGGUGACAACGGGUAACGGAGGGUUAGGGCUCGACCCCGGAGAAAACGCCUGAGAAACGGCGUUUACAUCCAAGGAAGGCAGCAGGCGCGCAAAUUACCCAAUGCCGACACGGCGAGGUAGUGACGAGAAAUACUGAUACAGGGCUCUUUUGGGUCUUGUAAUUGGAAUGAGUACAAUUUAAAUCUCUUAACGAGGAACAAUUGGAGGGCAAGUCUGGUGCCAGCAGCCGCGGUAAUUCCAGCUCCAAUAGCGUAUAUUAAAGUUGUUGCAGUUAAAAAGCUCGUAGUUGAACCUUGGGCCUGGCUGGCCGGUCCGCCUCACCGCGUGCACUGGUCCGGCCGGGCCUUUCCCUCUGGGGAGCCCCAUGCCCUUCACUGGGCGUGGCGGGGAACCAGGACUUUUACUUUGAAAAAAUUAGAGUGUUCAAAGCAGGCCUAUGCUCGAAUACAUUAGCAUGGAAUAAUAGAAUAGGACGUGUGGUUCUAUUUUGUUGGUUUCUAGGACCGCCGUAAUGAUUAAUAGGGACAGUCGGGGGCGUCAGUAUUCAAUUGUCAGAGGUGAAAUUCUUGGAUUUAUUGAAGACUAACUACUGCGAAAGCAUUCGUCAAGGAUGUUUUCAUUAAUCAGGAACGAAAGUUAGGGGAUCGAAAACGAUCAGAUACCGUUGUAGUCUUAACCAUAAACUAUGCCGACUAGGGAUCGGGCGG